rnacentral:lncRNA from 13 species
AUGCAAAAACAGGGACACUAUAGUACGUUGGUUAGCUCACUGGGGAAGAUAAAAUAUAGUGACCUCAGGACUGUAUUGGUGAUCACCAUAUACCAGCUUAACCAAUCACAACUGUGCAUCAGAGGGGGCCUGUGUUUCUUUAAUGUGGAGUGUAGUGACACACCGCCCUGGUAUGCUGUGCUCGAACUGUGCCUACCACUGUGUGUGUGAAUGUGUGUGUGUGUGGUAUGUGUGUUUGUGUUUGUAUAACUGUGGCAGAGCAAGUGGGCAUAAAUAUGAGUCACUACUUGUGUUCCAUGCACUGCUAAGUUUCCUAGUCCGCUAGCUAAGCUGAACAGGAAGUUGGAUAAGCAGAAACCACAUCAAAAAGCUGGCAAGUUUCUUAAAAUAUGAGAAAAGGUGUUUAUAUAAUGUAUCUACACCCAAUCACAAAUCUUUAUUUUAUAAAUCACAAAAUGUCAUGCAAAAUCUAGGUUAUUCAGCAACUAUCCCAAUUGAUUUCCAGACAGUUUUAUAUUAAUAUUUUGCUUGUAUGUCUGUUUUAUGCUAUUCUAGUCUGUGUGUCAGUUUUACAACCAGCUCCUGACAAACUUAAAGGAUCAAAUCACCUCACACCAACUCGACCAAUUACAUCUGUGCUUCAGGGGAUUCCCCAUUAGCUCCUCCUUCACCAUUUUUUCCCACUUGUUUUGCUGGAAGUGGAAAGUGAGUUCAUGAUUGCAGUUUAUAGAUGGUAGGUUGUUUAUCAGUUAUCCAGCAGUGUUCAGUUUAACUCUCUAAAGAAUAGUAACUAGAGACCUCAGCACCACAUCACCCAAUACCAGCUCAACCAAUCACAACUGUGUGAGGAUCCUCAUCAUCAAAUGUGGUCUGCAUGCAGGAAUAUGAUGUCAUGGAAUUAUGAUGAAGCAAUUGUUGUUGGCCUUGCCUUGACAUGGUCUCAAUAGUAAAAACCCUUCAGUCUAUGGCCUCUGUCUGGUCUUCAUUGAAGGAGUGUAGGCUCAGUAUAUACCACAGAGAGAACAUUGUUCUUCCUCAGCUGGGACCUGUAUCAAACACUUACCAUCAUAUUUCUAUGACUCAGUGGGGACAUCAAAUCAAAUAUUAUGGGUCACAUACACAUAUUUAGCAGAUGUUAUUGCGGGCGUUUGGAAAAUGCCUGUGUUUCUAGCUCCAACAGUGCAGUAGUGCAGUAGUAUCCAACAAUACACAACAUUACACACAAAUCUAAAAGUAAAAGAAUGGAAUUAAGAAAUAUAUAAAUAUUAGGAUGAGCAAUGUUGGAGUGGCCGGCUAGUGUUGGCUAGUUAACAGUCUGAUGGCCUUGAGAUAGAAGCGUUUUUUCAGUCUCUCUGUCCCAGCUUUGAUGCACAUGUACUCAACCUGUGGUUGAUGAUCUUUUUUGCCUUCCUGUGACAUCAGGUGCUGUUGGUGUCCUGGAGGACAAGUAGUUUGCCCCCGGUGAUGGGGUGGAAAGCAAAUUGAAGUGGGUCUAGGGUGUCAGGUAAGGUAGAGGUGAUAUGAUCAGGUCUGUCUUUAGAAUCAUCAGGAAUUCUGAGAAAUCAUGUAACUGUAUUGAAAUACAGAUGAAGACAACUCAUCUAGGCUGACUGGAUUGAAAAGUGGCACCACUUCAGCCCCGUGACCCACUUUAGGUUAACCACAGGUUAUUCAACAAUUACCCCAAUUAUUUGUUAACACUUUAUUGGGAUGGUCUCAAGUAGAUGGCUUGUAGAUGUUCAAUAACUGUCAACAACAUUUAAACCAACUAUCCACUAACCCUAGCCUUAACCCUCAUCCUAACCUAAUCCCAGCCAUAACCCUAACCCUUAUUCUAAACCUAACCACAACCUACACAAGCAUUUGCUUAUCAGCAGCUAAGAGCCAGGAGGAAGAGAGGUUAUACAGCAGUAAAUGUGUUUCCUGAAGUCAAUCACCAGACUACAUUAUAUCACUGUGAAGUAGUUGGAGUGUUAAGGAGAGAUUGACUUGUUAGACAAAUGUAAUACUGUAUGCUGUCAACGUCAAUCAAACACACACACACACACACACACACACACACAGAGAGAGAGAGAGAGAGAGAGAGAGAGAGAGACAGAGACAUAGAGAGAGAGGGAAAGCCAUGGCUGUCCCCAGACUUUCCCUACAUCUCUAUCUUUGUCUUACACCCAGCUUUGGCAGUAAGCCAGUAGAUACAGGGGUCAGAUAAUACACAUAAACCAAGUUACUACACCAGGGGAUACAUUUAAAUAAUGGCUCUUAAAUUAUAUCUAAAUAACAGUCUGAGUGGAGUACAGUACUGUCACAAAUGAAUUCAAUCAAUCAAGGAAAAACAGAUUAAACCAACAAGACACAUAAAGAUGAAUAGCAGGAUGUUUUAAUACAAGUUGUUGAGCAGGUUAGCAAAGCAAACAUAAAUGAGUGUUAAACACAUGAGUAAUGAUUCAAUAAAAAAUAAAAAUCACAUUAACAAAUACAGUCAGUAUCAUUCAUUAUGAAAUUUAACAAAAAUAAGUAAUUUUCUUUAAAAAAUUAUUAGAAGCCUAAUAAUGUGUUAUAUAUCCUGUCAGUACUUCUACAACAGCAGUUAUGAUUCUCUAGCCCCAUUUGAACUUCUCCUGCAGGUCUAACACACCCUUAACCUUCCACUUGUAGUUGUCCUUUCAGAUCCACAAAGGGAAGUCAACAAGAUCCUAAGGAUAGCAGCAAGGUAGCAGUUUGGAAUCUGGCUAU